rnacentral:rRNA from 1 species
UGGGGAAUUUUGGACAUUGGGGGAAACCCUGAUCCAGCCAUCCCGCGUGUGCGAUGAAGGCCUUCGGGUUGUAAAGCACUUUUGGCAGGAAAGAAACGUCAUGGGUUAAUACCCCGUGAAACUGACGGUACCUGCAGAAUAAGCACCGGCUAACUACGUGCCAGCAGCCGCGGUAAUACGUAGGGUGCAAGCGUUAAUCGGAAUUACUGGGCGUAAAGCGUGCGCAGGCGGUUCGGAAAGAAAGAUGUGAAAUCCCAGAGCUCAACUUUGGAACUGCAUUUUUAACUACCGGGCUAGAGUGUGUCAGAGGGAGGUGGAAUUCCGCGUGUAGCAGUGAAAUGCGUAGAUAUGCGGAGGAACACCGAUGGCGAAGGCAGCCUCCUGGGAUAACACUGACGCUCAUGCACGAAAGCGUGGGGAGCAAACAGG